UUGACCUCGGAUCAGGUAGGGAUACCCGCUGAACUUAAGCAUAUCAAUAAGCGGAGGAAAAGAAACCAACAGGGAUUG
rnacentral:rRNA from 7 species